GGAGGCAGCAGUGGGGAAUAUUGCACAAUGGGCGCAAGCCUGAUGCAGCCAUGCCGCGUGUAUGAAGAAGGCCUUCGGGUUGUAAAGUACUUUCAGCGAGGAGGAAGGCGUUAAGGUUAAUAACCUUAGUGAUUGACGUUACUCGCAGAAGAAGCACCGGCUAACUCCGUGCCAGCAGCCGCGGUAAUACGGAGGGUGCAAGCGUUAAUCGGAAUUACUGGGCGUAAAGCGCACGCA
rnacentral:rRNA from 1 species